ensembl:lncRNA
CUGUCUUGAACAGAAAAGCGCUUGAAGAGGGAAAACACACAGGCACACAAAACAACUUUGGCUAAAUCUGACAAACAGGAAGAAAGCAUACUGGAGAAAGAUGGCUUGGGAGUGUUUGGAUCCACUCUCGAAAUGCAUCACCACCAACCAGCCUUAGUAACACUCUUCAACAGAAAAUGCUCACCUAGACCUCUGAACAGCCUGGGGGUUUAUGGUUCUCCUUUAAUCCUCUGCCUCAGUUUCUCAUCAAAAUUAUGGAGCAAAAUCAUUUUAAAUGAAUUCAAAGUGGUUGCCUUACUUCACCGAUUAAACCAUCUACUUGCCCUUGGCCACAGG